UACGGAGGGUGCGAGCGUUGUCCGGAAUCACUGGGCGUAAAGGGCGCGUAGGCGGCCUGAUAAGUAGGGGGUGAAAUCCUGCGGCUUAACCGCAGGGCUGCCUUCUAAACUGUCAGGCUCGAGCACAGUAGAGGCAGGUGGAAUUCCUGGUGUAGCGGUGAAAUGCGCAGAUAUCAGGAAGAACACCCGUGGCGAAGGCGGUUCUCUGGGACGGUACUGACGCUGAGACGCGAAAGCGUGGGGAGCGAACAGG
rnacentral:rRNA from 1 species